rnacentral:rRNA from 1 species
GACGAACGCUGGCGGCGUGCCUAACACAUGCAAGUCGAACGGAAGUGGGGGCAACUCCACUUCAGUGGCGAACGGGUGCGUAACACGUGAGCAACCUGCCCUUCGGUGGGGGAUAGCCGGCCUAACGGCCGGAUAAUACCGCAUAUCGCGCCGAGGUCGCAUGGCCUUGGGGUGAAAGCCGUAAGGCGCCGGGGGAGGGGCUCGCGGCCUAUCAGCUAGUUGGCGGGGUAACGGCCCACCAAGGCUACGACGGGUAGCUGGUCUGAGAGGAUGGCCAGCCACAUUGGGACUGAGAAACGGCCCAGACUCCUACGGGAGGCAGCAGUGGGGAAUAUUGCGCAAUGGCCGCAAGGCUGACGCAGCGACGCCGCGUGUGGGAUGAAGGCCUUCGGGUUGUAACCACUGUGAGGAGGGACGAAUACCCGGCUUGACCGGGGGUGACGGUACC